rnacentral:rRNA from 1 species
AUGGCUCCCCCCGAUGAUGUUGCAGGUAACUCUGGUGAGAAUGAGGGGAGUAAGAAGGCUAAGAAGAAGAUUAAGAAGAAGAAGAAAGGCAAUCUAUGUGGCUUUAAGUCAAGGUUUAACUCAAAAAGGCUGGCUCAGAUUGGGAAGCAAAUAUCACCGGAAAAACAGAGAAUCAUAAGGGAGGGACCGUUUGGAGACUUGUUGGACAUCCGGUCUUUCAAGGUGCCCCAUGAGCUCAUUGAGUUUGUUGCGAUGAACACGAAUCACGUACUCUCUGAGUUCAAACACAAGAACAAAUCUAUCAUCUUCAGCAAGCUUAUGGUGAAAAGGAUUUUCAACGUGCCAUCCGGUGAUAGACCCGUGAAGAUUCUAAAGAAGAGUGAUGAACAUGAUCUUCGCAACAUUUACAAGGAGGGGAACAGGGCUCCAAUCGCCCAUGUUGUCAAGUUGCUCACUAGUUGCAGUGAGGAGGACGUGGAUAUGAUAAAUAGGACUUGGGCACUCCUUGCGUUGGCAACAGUUUUGUGCCCAGGCACGGGCAAUAUGGUGAACCUUGAGUAUCUUGCUUCCUUGGAAGAUAUGUCUUUGGUGCAUGAGUUCGCUUGGGAUGAGCACUUGUUGGCACGAGCGAUGGAGGAGGUUGGAGUCUUUCAAGAGAAGAAGAGGAUGCAAGCAAACGCAGAAAAAGAGUUCCAGAUUGCUUCAUGCCUCCCCAUGUUAGCGAUCAUAUACAUGGAUCAUGUUGAUAUCCCGGCUGGCCUCCCAAAUGAGCAUGCUAUUGAUUAUUCCGUGCCGAGGAUACGUUUUGUUUGCCAAAAGGAUUUUGAGUGGCUGGAUAAAGUUGACAAGAACAAGCUCACUCUUAUCCAACCUUUCUACGGGAAACACACCCAUAUCCGGAGUUUGUGCAACACCCCCUAUGCAGCACAACUUGUGGGACAGGAAGUUGGUGCUGAAGCAGCUAGUGGGCAGGGAGGUGGUGCUGAAGCACCUAGUGGCCAAGGAAUUAGUGGCCAAGGAAGCCAAGUUCAAGGUGCUGAAAAUCAAGCAAAGAACUCUCAAUCAAAUGAGGCUCAACAAAAUGUUGAUGCUGAACCACACCUAUCAUCAUCGCUAAACGAGUGGCUGCAGCAAUCAUUCCCUAGCAUGCAAGAUCUAAGGGUACCAACUCAGUUUCAAAUGCUUUACGACAAGCACAAGGGUUUUUUUGCAGCGGAGGUGGAUGAUGUUGUAGGCAAGUUUGGACAGUGUUUAAAGGGAUUGCAGUGCAGCCGGAUGGCUGCCCUCCUUCGCGAUGUUGGAGACGCCGUCACAGCUACCAGUGAGCCCAACUUCUCCUUCGAAGCACCUAUCAUGGACGAAUGUCGCGGAAAAGAGAAUGAUGCUAAAGCUGCAAAUGAUGGCAUUGGUGCUCAAGCUCAAGCUGAAGGUACAACACCUAGCAUUAACAAGGAUGAAGUCACCGGAUUGAAGCAACAAGUAGCAACCGAGGCUGCUGAAACUCGUGAGCAACAACGAGUGAGUUUCGAGAUGGAAGGGAACGUCUCACCUCACAGCCCCCCACUCUUCUAUGAUGCACCCAGGAGUGCGACAGCUGGCAUUUGGGACGACGAACCAUCCUGUGAGUUGUUCCCAAAGGGCUCCGAAGACUACGAGAUGAUGCAUUGCACGGAUGAGCCUAUAACCAAGAAAAGCACAGUCAGCCCCAUUUUUGAAAACAUCCCCGUGUUCCCUGUUUCAGACGAUGAUGACAGCCCAACUCCUAAUAUGGUCGCUACAUAA